rnacentral:rRNA from 1 species
GAUGAACGCUGGCGGCGUGCCUAAUACAUGCAAGUCGAGCGAACGGACGAGAAGCUUGCUUCUCUGAUGUUAGCGGCGGACGGGUGAGUAACACGUGGAUAACCUACCUAUAAGACUGGGAUAACUUCGGGAAACCGGAGCUAAUACCGGAUGAUAUUUUGAACCGCAUGGUUCAAAAGUGAAAGACGGUCUUGCUGCCACUUAUAGAUGGAUCCGCGCUGCAUUAGCUAGUUUGUAAGGUAACGGCUUACCAAGGCAACGAUGCAUAGCCGACCUGAGAGGGUGAUCGGCCACACUGGAACUGAGACACGGUCCAGACUCCUACGGGAGGCAGCAGUAGGGAAUCUUCCGCAAAGGGCGAAAGCCUGACGGAGCAACGCCGCGUGAGUGAUGAAGGUCUUCGGAUCGUAAAACUCUGUUAUUAGGGAAGAACAUAUGUGUAAGUAACUGUGCACAUCUUGACGGUACCUAAUCAGAAAGCCACGGCUAACUACGUG